rnacentral:rRNA from 1 species
AACAAACGCUGGCGGCGUGCCUAAUACAUGCAAGUCGAACGGGGAAAGCUUUCGGGUGAGUACUAGUGGCGCACGGGUGAGUAACGCGUGGAUAAUCUGCCUUGAAGAGGGGGAUAACCAGCCGAAAGAUUGGCUAAUACCGCAUAAGACCACAGGAACUGAGGUUCUAGAGGUCAAAGGUUUUUCGCUUCAAGAUGAGUCCGCGUAAGAUUAGCUAGUUGGUGAGGUAACGGCUCACCAAGGCGACGAUCUUUAACUGGUCUGAGAGGAUGAUCAGUCACACUGGAACUGAGACACGGUCCAGACUCCUACGGGAGGCAGCAGUAGGGAAUAUUGCACAAUGGAGGAAACUCUGAUGCAGCGACGCCGCGUGAGUGAUGAAGGCCUUCGGGUCGUAAAGCUCUGUCGCAGGGGAAUAACACAAUGAAGGUACCCUGUAAGAAAGGAUCGGCUAACUUCGUGCCAGCCGCCGCGGUAAAAC